GAUGAACGCUGGCGGCGUGCCUAAUACAUGCAAGUCGAGCGAGAAGACGAGGAGCUUGAUCCUAUGACGUUAGCGGUGGACAGGAACGUAACACGUGGAUAACCUACCUACAAGAAUGAGAUACCUUAGCGACAGCGGAGCUCAUACCAAAUCACAUGUUGACAUGCCUGGUUCGACAGUGAAAGAUGGUCCUGCUGACCCUUAUAGCUGAAUACAGGCCGCAUUAGCUAGUUGGUCAGGUAAGGGCUUACCAAGGCACCGAUGCGUAGCCGACCCGAGCGGGAGAGCGGCCAGGCUGGAACGGAGGCACGGUCCAGACUCCUACGGGAGGCAGCAGUAGGGAAUCCUCCGCGAUGCAGUAGAGCCUAACGGAGCAACGCGGCGUGAGUGAAGAAGGUCUUCUGAGCGUAAAACGCUGUUAUUCGGAAAGAACAAAUGUUUAAGUAACUAUGCACAUCAUGACGGUACCUGAUCAGAAAGCCACGGCUAACUACGUG
rnacentral:rRNA from 1 species